rnacentral:lncRNA from 1 species
GUUUGUUGUUUUUGUUUUUCUCUUUGGGUCCUCAUGUAGCAAUAUAGAGAGUAGUUUCUAACAGGCUGAUUGGAAUGUCUUUAGUCCUCAAGUUUUUUUUUCUGGAAGAGCAGCCUCAAACCACAAGCAGCCACAGGAUUUCAGACAGUGGAAAGCCCCUGUUUCCUAGACAAGCCUUUUUUUUUUUAGGACUAGGGAGAUAAUAAAAUCCUUCCCUUCCCUACACAUUCGGUACACCUUCAUUCCUAUACCCACCCCUCACCUCGACUCCUGCCACCUGACUAACAGAAAAUGAUCAGGAUGGUGAAAGCAAUCAGCAAAGAGACCAUGACUUUUCAGCCAUGAGUUUCUGGUUCCAGUUCUAUUCUGAUUGUUACAAAUGCUCUUUAUUUAUCAGUAACUCUAAUUAACUGGGUUAGUACAUGUACCAGGAACAGCAUAAGCCCCCUGCCACACUCGGUGGUAAUUCCAACAGAGACACCAAAU